GCCGAGAUAGCUCAGUGGUAGAGCAGCUGUUUUGUAAACAGCAGGUCCAGGGUUCGAAUCCCUGUCUCGGCUCAA
rnacentral:tRNA from 5 species